rnacentral:rRNA from 1 species
UACAGGGGGGGCAAGCGUUGUUCGGAAUUACUGGGCGUAAAGGGCGCGUAGGCGGUCCGAUAAGUCCUGUGUGAAAUCCCUCGGCUCAACUGAGGAACUGCACGGGAGACUGUCGGGCUUGAGUUCGGGAGAGGGAAGCGGAAUUCCGGGUGUAGCGGUGAAAUGCGUAGAUAUCAGGAAGAACACCGGUGGCGAAGGCGGGUCUCUGGGCAGUAACUGACGCUGAGGAGCGAAAGCGUGGGGAGCGAACAGG